GUUCGCCUUCCCGCCCGCAUCCAUGGAGGAGCCCGACGUGAUCUGCGUACGGCACGAGUGCCUCAAGGACGUCUGCUGCUUCUCUGUGCCUCCCGCUUGUCCGGUUUGCGGCCGGCCCCUGGCAGGAAGAUUCCUGCGGGAGGCACCGCUCAGCAUCCCGGACCCGUUACUUGACGGACACAAGAUGGCCUGCUGCCUCCUGGUUGCGCCCACUGACCGCCACGCCGAUGGAGGCUUUGAUGGCACAUCGGAACUUCACGCAGGAAUCGCCAACACUUCAGGCGUGAUGUACAACUACACGGGGGCAGGCAUGCGCCGAGACCGCAGCGGCUGGCGCGCUUGCGUGAGCGUCCCACUUGUCAGACCAGACGCCUUCCGCCUCCUGGCCCAGUGGGACCAGCAUCUCGAGCGGUUCUCAUGCGCACCCCCAUGGGACCCCACCAGGCACAGGUACGCACACGCCCCAAUGAAGAGACUCGGGGCGCCUCUUAGCGGGAAGGUGCAUGGACAAAGGCCGUGGUCCCUAUUUCUGCGAAGACACACAAUUGCCUGACGUUCUGCGUGGAGUUUGUGAACAGCGUGUUGGUGGCGGAGGGCCUCGCCAGAGGUUGCGUGAGCAGAGACGCCUUCACGCGCACCCUGAUCGCACCCGCCGUAAGCCGAGUGUGUGAGUAUGCGGCGCUGCGCCGACGCAUUUGACAGCAACAAUUCCACGUGGCCCAGAGAUGGUCUUCGCCGGCUACUUGACUGCUUCCUCGUCUUUCCACUCGCACUUUCUCGACAUUGGUCUGGACGCACAAAUGUGAAAUGAGUAAAGAAAUCAGCAGUUGCUUUUUCGACAGUGCUUGUUUUUGUUUGUCCUCACACCCAGAGGACGGAAUCGCAGCCAGCUU